rnacentral:tRNA from 1 species
UUAACUAAAACCAAAAAAGAGGUAAAUUAUUGUUAAUAAUUUAAUUGAAUUUUAAUUAAUUCUAGUUAAA